rnacentral:rRNA from 1 species
UACGAAGGGAGCUAGCGUUGUUCGGAAUUACUGGGCGUAAAGCGUGCGCAGGCGGUUCGCUGUGUCCGAUGUGAAAGCCCCGGGCUCAACCUGGGAAUGGCAUGGGAAACUGGCGGGCUGGAGUGUGGCAGAGGGGGGUGGAAUUCCGCGUGUAGCAGUGAAAUGCGUAGAUAUCAGGAGGAACACCUGUGGUGUAGACGGCCUACUGGACCAUGACUGACGCUGAGGCACGAAAGCGUGGGGAGCAAACAGG